rnacentral:rRNA from 1 species
GAUGAACGCUAGCUACAGGCUUAACACAUGCAAGUCGAGGGGCAGCAUGGUCUUAGCUUGCUAAGGCCGAUGGCGACCGGUGCACGGGUGAGUAACACGUAUCCAACCUGCCGUCUACUCUUGGACAGCCUUCUGAAAGGAAGAUUAAUACAAGAUGGCAUCAUGAGUCCGCAUGUUCACAUGAUUAAAGGUAUUCCGGUAGACGAUGGGGAUGCGUUCCAUUAGAUAGUAGGCGGGGUAACGGCCCACCUAGUCUUCGAUGGAUAGGGGUUCUGAGAGGAAGGUCCCCCACAUUGGAACUGAGACACGGUCCAAACUCCUACGGGAGGCAGCAGUGAGGAAUAUUGGUCAAUGGGCGCAGGCCUGAACCAGCCAAGUAGCGUGAAGGAUGACUGCCCUAUGGGUUGUAAACUUCUUUUAUAAAGGAAUAAAGUCGGGUAUGUAUACCCGUUUGCAUGUACUUUAUGAAUAAGGAUCGGCUAACUCCGUG